rnacentral:tRNA from 1 species
UCCCUGGUGGUCCAGUGGUUAAGACUCUGCACUUCCACUGCCAAGGGCAUGGGUUCAAUCCCUGGUCAGGGAA